rnacentral:tRNA from 1 species
GGUUGUUUGGCCGAGCGGUCUAAGGCGCCUGAUUCAAGAGUUCGACUCUNNCUGUGACAAGAAGCAGCGAACACUCAGGUAUCGUAAGAUGCGUGAGUUCGAAUCUCACAGCNAUAU